AUGCCCAAUGGCCCCAUGCGGAUAACCAGUGGUCCCUUUGAGCCUGACCUUUACAAGUCUGAGAUGGAGGUCCAGGACGCAGAGCUCAAGGUUAGUGUGGGAUGAAAGUGGUGAGCAAGUG
rnacentral:pre_miRNA from 1 species